rnacentral:rRNA from 1 species
ACUCCUACGGGAGGCAGCAGUGGGGAAUAUUGCACAAUGGGCGCAAGCCUGAUGCAGCCAUGCCGCGUGUGUGAAGAAGGCCUUCGGGUUGUAAAGCACUUUCAGUCGUGAGGAAGGUAGUGUAGUUAAUAGCUGCAUUAUUUGACGUUAGCGACAGAAGAAGCACCGGCUAACUCCGUGCCAGCAGCCGCGGUAAUACGGAGGGGUGCGAGCGUUAAUCGGAAUUACUGGGCGUAAAGCGCAUGCAGGUGGUUUGUUAAGUCAGAUGUGAAAGCCCGGGGCUCAACCUCGGAAUUGCAUUUGAAACUGGCAGACUAGAGUACUGUAGAGGGGGUAGAAUUUCAGGUGUAGCGGUGAAAUGCGUAGAGAUCUGAAGGAAUACCGGUGGCGAAGGCGGCCCCCUGGACAGAUACUGACACUCAGAUGCGAAAGCGUGGGGAGCAAACAGGAUUAGAUACCCUGGUAGGAUAGCG